AGGGUUAUAGCUCAGUUGGUAGAGCACCUCUCCCGAGACGGUCUACGGUUCGAGUCCGUAUAGCCCUAC
rnacentral:tRNA from 1 species